GGUUGGCAAGACAUGUUUGGGGAAUCGCAAUAAUUCAACAUCUCAUUUGAAGACAGCAGAAACAGAGACAAGCUUUCAGAAGUUGCACAGCCCUCCGUGGACUAAACCCGAAGAUAAAAAAUCACUUGAAAGAAAUGAGAAAAAAUUUGAAGAGUCUGUUAGUACAAAAGAAAAAAAACUCUAAGCACUAGUAAUCUACAUUAAAAACGCCCAUCACUUGCUUCCAUCUUCAUAUUCUUUUUAGUCCAGAGGCAUGAAAUGUACCAGGUUUCUAAAGCAUGCAUUUUUCACUAUUUUAUGAAUGUUUGUAAAUUAGUCUAGAAUAGACCAAUUAGUACCUUUCAGCAAUAAUCCAAAAUGGAUGUUUGAAGAAAUGCUUUGUAAUACAGUCUGAAUUUUGAACUAUUGUUCUACCUGAUCAGUAACUGCAUACUAUAAAUUAUUUUCUUUGUAA